CUGCAGUUACCACUCAGAAGCAGUGGGCUGUCCUUGUCUGCCUGGAACAACUAUUAGGAAUGUACAAAGUACAUAUCUCAGCAGCGAGUUUCCAGCUAUCUGCUGACAGUGGACCGCUGAUGGAUGUUCUCACAACUUGGGCCUAUUAAUCAGAGCCUCUUCCGCUGGUGUUGUCUCCAAGGAAAACACGUCCAAGCCAGCAGUGUUCUCAUCGUGCUCUUUACCCACACUGUGUCUGCUGGCACCUGCAAAUGGAUGUGAUUCAGUACAAACCUCCCACAAGGCAGCCUUCACCUUGCUGUCAUCACAUUGGCAGCACCAUGGAAUGCUGUUGUGGAUCUGCAGGUUUGCAUGCCACUGCCCUCUUUUUGCAUCGUUCUCACCUCUUGUAGUAUUUUGAACAGACUGUUUUGUUGACAAUGUCAAAGUGAACCUGUGCCCUCGUUAGCUUAUUUUCUAACUGGGAGUCUUUAUUGCUUGGCAAUUGCAAUUGCAUCUGUCAUUAGGGAUGAAUUCUGGAUCCUUCAGCUAAAGAAAAACCAAUAAUUGUGGCACUGUGCCAUAGCUGCCUGUAUACAGAUGACCAUGCUCAUCAUUUGGACAGUCCUUAGCUGCACUGGAAAAUAGACAUAGGAUGUAGUGAAGCCAGGCAGAAGGAGGAACAAAGUAAAUGUGGCCACAACGCUCUCUGAAAUGUGCAGCCACAUGCUGAACAGAUGUGUCAGCACUAACCUGUCUUCACCCAAGUGCAGAACUAAAAACUUUUAAAGAUUGUUUCUACCCAAAAAGGGUAUUUGCUCAGUCUGGAACAGAUGACCAUUUGCUGAACUGUUCAAAGCUCCAGUGAUUAUCAAACCUGAAAAUAUGAGAUUGUUCCUCAACAAGCCUCCAAAACCCAGAGCUGCAUGCAAGGGUGAGGAACAGUUUCCCUUGUAAAUGCAAGAUUUAAGAUGAGACAGACCCAGAACUGUUAAUGCACUAGUAGAAGAGAAAAAACACAGAAAGGUAUCCAUAUGAGUGCAAAAACCCAAAUGCACAGAUGUAAAAUCUAGACAAAAUUAAAAGGGAAAAAUGAAUAAUCUGAGGAAUAAUAAAGGUCUCCCUGCACAAAGAUUUUGUAUGCA
rnacentral:lncRNA from 1 species